rnacentral:rRNA from 1 species
UACGUAGGGGGCGAGCGUUGUCCGGAUUUAUUGGGCGUAAAGAGCUCGUAGGCGGUUCGAUAAGUCGGACGUGAAAUCUCCACGCUCAACGUGGAGGAGCCGAUUCGAUACUGUCGUGACUCGAGUCCGGUAGGGGAGUGUGGAAUUCCCGGUGUAGCGGUGAAAUGCGCAGAGAUCGGGAGGAACACCCGUAGCGAAGGCGGCACUCUGGGCCGGUACUGACGCUGAGGAGCGAAAGCGUGGGGAGCAAACAGG